rnacentral:rRNA from 1 species
UUGAAUGAUAUAUUUAUUUUCAAUGAAAUCAUUGCUCACCUAGGUCUCUUGGAGCUGCCACUUAAGGGGACGUCAUAUACAUGGUCUAACAUGUAGGAUAAUCCCUUAUUAGAGCAACUGGACUGGUUCUUUACAUCCGCUGAUUGGAUCUCCUCAUAUCCUAUCACAGGUGCGCGUCGGUCCUAA